rnacentral:tRNA from 1 species
AGUAAAUUAAUUUAUAAAAAAAAUAUUAUCCUUCAAAGAUAAAAAAAUCAUUAUUGUUUAUUUGCUA